CCAAUAGCGUAUAUUAAAGUUGUUGCAGUUAAAAAGCUCGUAGUUGAACUUCAGGCCUGUCCAGAUGGUCCGCCUUAAUUGGUGUGUACUGUCCUUGGGUGGGUCCUACCUUCUGGCGAAGCGGCAUGGCCUUAAUUGGUUGUGUUGGGGAACCAGGACUUUUACUGUGAAAAAAUUAGAGUGUUCAAAGCAGGCAUAUA
rnacentral:rRNA from 2 species